GGGGCUGUAGCGCAGCUGGGAGCGCGCCUCCCUCGCACGGAGGAGGCCGUGGGUUCGAAUCCCAUCAGCUCCACCA
rnacentral:tRNA from 1 species